GGCUUUAUAGUCAAUAUAUGACAUUAGACUGCAAUUCUAAAGUAAUAAUUUUAUUAUUAAAGCUU
rnacentral:tRNA from 1 species